UUAAACGAAACCGGCUCAGGUGCCUAUUUAGCGCUUAAAAGGGAACCCCGUAAUAAUCGGGGACGGACCCGCCGCUGUGAUCGGGGACGAAAGCCGCAAGGUCAGAUGCUAUAUCUACCUUAAACCACUGCCCUGGUGCUCAUGGGGUGGGAAGGCGCGGCAAGUAGGAUGAUCCGUAAGUCAGAAGACCUGCCUGAAUGGCCGCACAACA
rnacentral:ncRNA from 2 species